GGGCGUCUCUAUCUCAUCGCGAGAAGAGGCGCACCUAGAGCGCACACGCUGAUACCCGAAAGAUGGUGAACUAUGCCUGGCCAGGACGAAGCCAGGGGAAACCCUGGUGGAGGUCCGCAGCGAUUCUGACGUGCAAAUCGAUCGUCGGAGCUGGGUUUAGGGGCGAAAGACCAAUCGAACCAUCUAGUAGCUGGUUCCCUCUGAAGUUUCCCUCAGGAUAGCUUGCGCUCGAGCGAAACGAGUCUCAUCCGGUAGAGCGAAUGAUUAGAGGCCUUGGGGUCGAAACGACCUCAACCUAUUCUCAAACUCCAAAUAGAUGAGAACCCCGGCUUUCUUGAACUCUGUUUAUGAAGCCGGGGGCUUGGAUCAGAGUGCCAAGUGGGCCAAUUUU
rnacentral:rRNA from 1 species